rnacentral:rRNA from 1 species
AUUUGGUCGUAGACCCGAAACCAGGUGAUCUACCCUUGGUCAGGUUGAAGUUCAGGUAACACUGAAUGGAGGACCGAACCGACUUACGUUGAAAAGUGAGCGGAUGAACUGAGGGUAGCGGAGAAAUUCCAAUCGAACCUGGAGAUAGCUGGUUCUCUCCGAAAUAGCUUUAGGGCUAGCCUCAAGUGAUGAUUAUUGGAGGUAGAGCACUGUUUGGACGAGGGGCCCCUCUCGGGUUACCGAAUUCAGACAAACUCCGAAUGCCAAUUAAUUUAACUUGGGAGUCAGAACAUGGGUGAUAAGGUCCGUGUUCGAAAGGGAAACAGCCCAGACCACCAGCUAAGGUCCCAAAAUAUAUGUUAAGUGGAAAAGGAUGUGGCGUUGCCCAGACAACUAGGAUGUUGGCUUAGAAGCAGCCAUCAUUUAAAGAGUGCGUAAUAGCUCACUAGUCGAGUG